GGGUCACAGACAAAGGCAGGGUGAUCGCGGCGAGACUCUGAGUGAGACUAGAGGCGUUACCCAGAGGGUGCGAGGUCGAGCACCUUCAUUGUCCCAUCGCAAACCCAAAGAUCCCAGUUCCUGGAGAUUCUGAUUGAGGAAGAAAAAAUGCACCUUUGGGCUGAACUCAGCUGCCAUUUCCAUACCCUCACUGCGGGGACUCAAGUGUUCCUGUGUAUUGCUGGUGAAUAUAAGUGGGAAGAUGGUGUGGCAGAAUCCAUCACAACAGCAAAUGUCCCACACUUUAACCAGAUGCGGGACAUCUCAGAAUUUUAUCUCCCACACCAGAACACCCACAAAGCUCCACCAAAACAAAGGUGUGAACUGAGAAAGAGGAGAUCCUGGGUCUGAAAACAGGAAGGAACAGAAGAGAAGAUGGGGUGUAGGGGGAGCCCGGAUGAUGCCAGACAAAGGUGGUGGCUGAGAGGCUCAGUGAUGAUCCCUGCAUAGUCCCAGGAGGUGUUUCAGGCUCAGACUCUGGAGUUUGAGGCUGUGUUUGAGGUAGCGACUGGAAACUGGAGGGCUCCAUCUUCUCUGAUAGGACCUCCUGGCCCUGCACCUGGACUGUGACCUGGGGAGGUGCCCCCACCAUCAGAGGUCCAACUGGAGAGUGGGACUGGCCUUAACCUGGGGAUGGGAUCUUACUAUGUUGCCCAGGCUGUUCUUGAACUCCUGGGCUUAAGCAGCUGAUCCUCUUGCCUUGACUUCCAAAAGUGCUGGGACUUACAGCCUUCCAGCAGCCAGCUUCCAGUGCCCCUCUGGUGAUGGAUGAUGUCUGGCCAGGCUGCUGCUCCCUGGUGUUGCCUGAAGGUCAACAGAGCUGGCUGCCUUGCCUGGAAGGGAGAGACUCCCGUAUCCUUCUCUGGUCAAGAGUUCCAGAACUCUGCAUGUGGUGCAGUUAGCAAUGGCAGCUCCUCUAGGGUGAAACCACAUACGUUUUGAGUGACUUAGACCUCACGGAAUUCUCCGCUGAAGAGCCAGCCAUCCUGCUGCUCCAGAUGUUUUCAUCCAGGUAGAGGCAGCGUGGCAAGAGAGGGCAAGGGGCUGCCACUGUGGGCACAGUGGUAGCUGCUAGGGCUGAGCAGGAGGAAGAGAGCUCAUCGAGGCGCGUGGUUCAGGGGGAGGAAUGAAGACAGACCCCACCCACAAGUGUCGGGAAAGACACCUUUUGGUGACGUUGGCCUCCAUUACCCUGCGAGUGAAGUUGGAGGUGCUGUGGAGGUUUGAAGAGAGUGAGAAACUGACACGGAUUGACAGGGCCCUAGGGCUGGUCACCUCCACUGUUGCCUCGAUCCGUUCAACGAGGACAAGAUCCGGGCUAAUUCCCGCUGCCACUCCAGUAAGUGCCGUACAGCUGACUUGCUGCUGGGGUGUGGUGAUGGGCCACGUGCAGCGCCUGUUGAACCUGUGGAUUGGGGAGCAGAAGCAACACAACUUGCCUGUCAGCACACUGCUCAUCCAGGACAAGGCAUGCUGGCUGUUUGUACAGCUACAGCAAGAGCAGGGCGACGGUGCCCAGGCUGAGAGCUUUGGGGCCAGGAAGGGCUGCCGACGGAUGAGCCAGCCAUAGCUGACACCCAGGCUGCUGCCCAGUACCCCUUGGUGUUACGUACUGUCCUGGAGGAGGCCUACUACUCACCACACCAAGUCUUCAAUGUGGAUGAGACGGGGCUGUUCAGGAAACGGAUGCCCAAGCGCUUGCUGCUGGCAUUGGAAGGGGUGACUGGGCCUGGGCCAAGGCCUCUAAGGCCCAUCUGACCCUACUGCUUGGUGGCAAUGUGGCCAGCAACUUCUAGAUAAAGCCCCUGCUAGUGCACCCCUCAGAGAAUCCGCGGGCCCUCGAGGGCUGCUCCAAGGCCAGCCUCCCUGUGGCCUGGUCCUCCAAUCGCAAUGACUGGCUGACUCCCCGAGUCUUCCAGGAUGCUUCUGCCCUGCCAUGGAGACCUGCUGUGCUCACAUCAUGCCCUGCUGCUUCUGGAUGGUGCGCCCUACCAUCCUGCCCAUCUGGGUGGCCUUUCAGCCCAUGUGCACGUUGAGUUCUUGCCCAAGAACACCUCAGCCCUAAUUCAGCGCAUGAACCAGGGCGUCAGCACUGCCUUCGCGGCCCACUACCUGCGCUGCACACUCAGCCACCUGGUCCAGGAGACUGCUGAUGAGGACUGGCCCUCUACGUGGGAGUUCUGGUGCAGCUAUACCGUCAUGACUGCCGUGGACGGUAUUGCCGAGGCCUGGGCAGAGCUGCAGCCUGCUACCAGGAACAAUGCCUGGAGGAAACUCUGGGCUGAGUGUGUGCCCACCAGUGCCCCUGAGCCUGAUGUGGUGCCCGAGCUCCGCCACAGCACUGUGGCACUAGCUAGCCAUGUGGCUCUUGGGGAUGUGGCUGAGGCUGAUGUUGCCUGCCUGCUGCAGGCCUGUGGGGAACCCCCACUCCACAGUGUCCCCCAGGAUGCAGAGGAUGGGGACACUAGCACCUCGGGGCUGUCUUGGGAGGCAGGGAAAGGCUUGGCCUUUAAAAGGUCAGAGAAGCCAUGAAGAGUACAGAGACCAGGGGGCUGGUGAGGGAGUUCAGAGCCGUGAGCAGCUGGCCCAGGUUGUGUCUCACUUUGCUGCUGGCCUUCGAUUCCUUGUGGAGAAUGACCCCAACUGGGAGCAUAGCUUGCGGGUGUCCCGGGGUAUCCUCGGUGCUCUUGCCCACCUCCAGGAGCUACACUGAGACAGGAGGCCCUAGGUCAGUGGCAACAAGGGAGUUGGUGGGAAGCUUGCAUUUGUUCCAGGACAGGCCUGCAGAGCAUGGGUGAGUGGCCCAGGGCACAGGCCUGGAAGGACAGACUCCUGCAGCUGUUCUGCAUGAUGCUGGGCUUGGCCCUUAUCUCAGAUGAACUCUGCCUAGUGAUCUUUUAUUUCUGGGGGGCAGACACUAGGCCUUCUCGCUCAUGGUUCUCACAUCUCAUGUCCUGUGGCCUUUCUGCAGUGACAAACACACAGCACCAGGCUUGGGAACAAGAAGGUUCCGUUCCGUUCUGUUCCGUAUCUGUGGGUCAGCCGCAGGGCUCAGGAACACCCACCUGCGGUUGAGAUGCACCCUGACGCCAAAGUAAUCGCCCACCGGGGCUGCCUUCACUUGCGCCGACGCCGGCUGCUUCCGCAGAAACAGACGCACCUGAGCCGCCCUCCAGCCCCGCCUGCUCUCCGCGCGCCGGCGUGGAAUGUGGGGUGGGGUCGGGGUCGCGCCUGAGGGGCAGGGGCGGAGAGGACAGGGCGGAAAGGAGCUCCGGUCUUCGGGUGGUUUGUCUUCGUUUCCGCGCGGCUGGGCCAGUCCCGGCAGGUCCCAAAGAGAGAAGAUAAUUCCAUAUACUUUACGGCAAGUGACAAAUACAGCAAGAUAGUCAAACCAAUGAAAAAGGUCGAAGGAAAGAGGAAGUCUUCCCCCUUGCUCUGCCACCUGAAGCAAUUUGACGCUGUUUGCCUUGGGAGUGAGGAAAUGCUGAGCAUCCCCUCUCAGAAGGCAACAGCAACUUCGGCUACGGUGCAGAAAGAGAACGCGUGUGAUGUGCUGCAUGAGGCUCACGUCAGCAUCUGGCAUGGAGGGAAGCACAAGAUGCUGGUGGAGCUGAAGAGGCAGCACGGGAUGUGACAGAAGGUCAUACCACAUACUCCUGCCCGCAGACGUUAAAUCUUGUGAAAGAAGGCAUUACAAACUCGGGCUUGGUGGCUCAGGCCUGUAAUCCCAGCGCUUUAGGAGACAAAGGUAGGAGAAUUGUUUGAUUCUCAACAUUUCUCAGAUGUUGGAGACCAGCCUAGGUAACAUGGUGAGGGCCUUUCUCUACAAAAAAUAAGUUAGCUAGGCAUGGUGGUGCACACCUGUGGUCCCAGCUAUUUGGGAGGCUGAGGCUGAAGGAUUGCUUGAUCCUGGGAGAUUGAGGCUGCAGUGAGUCAUUAUCAUGCCACACUGCACUCCAGCCUGGGGGACAGAAUGAGAUCUUAUUUCCAAAAAAUCAAAUGGCAUUGGAGUUUAGCUUGUGGUUUUCACGGAGACUCAGAGGUAGACCUCAUUAAUGUGUUUUUAAAUUUUUAAAAAUUUGGAGUCUUGCUUUGUCACCUAGGUUGGAGGGCAAUUGUGUGAUCUCGACUCACUGUAACCUGUGCUUCCUGGGUUCAAGUGAUUCUCCUGCCUUAGCCUCCUGAGUAGCUGGGGUUACAGGCACCCACCAUCAUGCUGGGCUAAUUUUUGUGUUUUUGUAGAUAUGAAGUUUCACCAUGUUGGCCAAGCUGCUCUUGAACUCCUGACCACGGCUCCUUGCAUGCCUGCUUCUCUGGCUUCAGCCUCAGCUCAAAGGGGCCCACAUAUAGCUUGGGUCAUCACUCUGGAGAGGGCAAGCCAAAGCUUUGGUGGCUUCCACACGGUCUUAAGCCUGCAGGUGUACAGAAUGCAAAAGUGAAGGAGGCGUGGCAGUUUCUACCUUGAUUUCCGAGGAUGUGGAAAAGCCUGAGUGCCCUAGCAGAAACCUGCUGCAGGGCAGAGCCCCCACAGAGAGAUUCUACUAGGGCAAUGCCAAGGGGAAGUGUGGGGUUGGAGUCCCUACACGGAGUCCCUACCAGGGCACUUCCUGGUGGAGCUGUGGGAACAGGGCUGCCACCCUGCAGACUUGAGAAUGGUAGAGCCUUGCAAAGGGAAACCAGCAAAGACUUGCAAAUUCAGCAUGGAAAAGGUGCAGAGAUGGAGCUUUCCAGGGCCUUGGGAGCCCACUCAGCACAUUAGUGUGCCCAGGAUGUGAGACAUGGAAUCAAGGGAGAAUAUUUUGAAGCUUUAAGAUUUAAUGUCUACCCUGCCGAGUUUCAAACUUGUGUGGGACCUAUUACCACUUUCUUUUGGCUGAUUUCUCCUUUGGAAUGGGAAUAUCUACCCAAUGGCUCUACCACUAUCAUAUCUUGGAAGUAAAUAACUUGUGUUUGAUUUCACAGGUUCAUAGGUGGAAGGAACAUGUAAUGAGUCUUGAUGAGAUUUUGGACUUUUAAGUUGAUACUCGGAGCAAGUUAAGACUUUGGGGGACUAUUCAGAAGUGAUGAUUGUAUUUUGCAGUGUAAGAAGGACAUGAAAUUUGGGGGGCCAGGGGUGGAAAGAUAUAGUAUGGAUGUUCAUCCCCUUCAAACCUCAUGUUGACAUGUGAUUUCCAGUGUGGAAGUGGGUGGCCUGGUGGGAGAUUUUGUGGUCAUGAGUGGUGGAUCCCUCAUGAAUGGCUUGGUGUCAUGCCCAUGGUAAUGAGUGGAUUCUCGAUCUGGUAGUUCAUGAGACAGCUGGUUGUUUAAUAAUGUGACGCCUCCCUUACCAUCUUCUUGCUCCCACCUUACCAUGUGAUACGCUGGCUCCCCCUUUAACUCCUGCCAUGAUUGUAAGCUUCCUGAGACCCUCACCAAGAGCAGAUGCCCCCCAACACCAUGCUUCUUGCAUAACCUGCAGAACUGUGGGCCAAAAUCAAUCUUUUCUUUAUAAAUUAUCCAGCCUCAGGCAUUCCUUGAUAGCAACACACACACAAAAAUAGAAUAAUAUACUUUCCCAUAUUCUUUGCCCCUGAAGACCUUUUCCCAGUGUGAACCCUGAUGGUCAAUAAGAGAAGAGGUUUGACUGAAGGGUUUCCCAAGUUCAUUGCAUUCCAAAGACUUCUCUCUAGUACCCAUCAUCUCUGAUUGAAUAAAGGAUUUUCUUCAAUUAGGGGAUUUUCUACAUCAACUAAAAUCCUUUUGAGCAUAAAUUCUCUGGCGUUUUAAGAGUAGAAGGCUGCAUUGAUAGAAGCCUUUUCCACAUUCAUGACAUGCGCAUGGUUUGUUUCCAGCAUGAAUUCUGCAGUGUCCAAAAUGAGCCAGGUAGUCAGUUUAUUACCACAUUUACUGCCUUCCCAAAGCUUCUUCCCUGAUCUGGCUGCCUGGGCACCACAUUUCAGAAAUCUCCUAUAUGCAUGCUGGUGGUCCAUAAAAGACUGACUUAAAUUUUGGUAGCCUCUCUGUACAUCAUUAAUAUUUAAGAGGAUAUUUGUCACUUGUCCCAGAUCUGUAUGCUGGGCUGCCUUCUGAUCCCCUCCUGUUACCCCUCAGUUGACCCUGGAACUCCAAGGCCUCAUUCACUUGGAUGUCAGAGCUCUUGGUGAGGAGGGAUGAUCUGUCAUCAUACAUAUCCUCUUUCUUAAGCCUUUGAUUUGACAGAAACAAAAAAUUAAGAGGUCUCUUGAGUACUGUGCUCAGAAUUAGAUAAUAUGCAACAAUGAGCUUGGGGUAAUAAAUCAUAACCUAAUGCUUGGUGAUCUUAAUUACCAUGUUGUUGGAAUUCACAAUUAGAAGAGCUUCCACUAAUUAAAUGCCUUCUAUGGGCUAGACAAAUUUCCUAUCAUAUGUAACUAAUGCAUUUAAUUCAUACCACUACCCUCUAGGGUAGGUCCUGUCAUUAUCUCUAUUAUAUAGAUAAUAAAAUUGGAAGUAAUUGCCAAAGGUUACACAGUAAUAAAGUAAAAACAAAAGUAGUCAGGAUACAGAAAGGAUGCUUUUAACCACUUCAUUUUACAGGGAAAAUCCAGAAACAACUAAAAUAUCAAUAUAUGUAGAGAUUAGAUCCAAGAUGGCCGACCACUAACAGCUCAGGAUUGUAGCUCCCAGUGAAAGCUCAGAGAACGAGACGACGCCACAUCAUUAGACGAAUUUUCGUCACCCACCGAUUAGCCGAUUCCCAGUGGAGGAGCCCCACGGGUCGCCAGCGCGACUCUUGUGGCUGCCGCAGCGGUUUUGCCGGCGUCUCGGCGCAGCAGCUCUUCACGCAGAGCCAACGGGACUGCUUCCCCUACUGACCGGAGUUUGGAGCUCCAGGAAGUCAGAGCCGCUUGUUGCGGACUCAAGAGGGAAGCCAGACCAGAGAUUCCCGGGCAGAAGAGCACCAUCAGUCUUAUCGCUGCUAUUUAGGCUGCCACAGUGGGUUGCUCGGAUCCCAGCACUGGGAAUCAAUAAGUCGGACGUCGACUCAGAAAACUAAUUAGAAAGGCGGUUCAUCUACAAUGAAGGGAAAAAAACAGCCUAAGAAGGCCGAGUAUACUCAAAAUCAGAACCCAUCAGAAACGGAACAAGCCCUGAUGGAAAAGGACUCAUCAGCAACUGAACAAGCCCUGAUGGAAGAGGACUCAUCAGUAACGGAACAAGCCCUGAUGGAAAAGGACUGUGUUCCAUUAUCUGAAGUAGGCUUUAAAAGGUGGAUGAUAAGAAACUUCUGGGAGUUAAAGGAACUUGUUCUAACCCAAUGUAAAGAAACCAAGAACUUGGAAAAAAGAUUAGAUGAAAUGUUGAAAAGAAUAGACAAUAUAGAGAGGAAUACAAAUGAACUUAUGGAGUUGAAAAAUACAACACGAGAACUCAGUGAAAUAUGUACAAGCUUAAACAGCCGAAUGGAUCAAGCAGAAGAAAGGGUAUCAGAGGUAGAAGACCAACUUAAUGAAACAAAAUGACAAGACAAGAAUAGAGAAAAAAGGAUAAAAAGGAAUGAGCAAAGUCUCCAAGCAAUAUGGGACUAUGUGAAAAGACCUAAUAUACGCUUGAUUGGUGUACCUGAAUGUGAGGGAGAGAAUGAAGUCAAGCUGGAAAAUACUCUCCAGGACAUUAUCCAGGAAAAUUUUCCUAAUUUAGCAAAGCAGGACACUAUUCAACCCCAGGCAAUACAGAGAACACCACAAAGAUAUUCCUCAAGAAGACCAACCCCAAGGCACAUAAUCGUUAGAUUCACCAAGAUCGAAACGAAGGAGAAAAUAUUAAGGGCAGCCAGAGAGAAAGAUCAAGUUACCCAUAAAGGUAAGCCUAUUAGGCUUACAGCAGAUCUCUCAAUGGAAACCCUACAAGCUAGAAGAGAGUGGGGGUCAAUAUUCAAUAUACUUAAAGAACAAAACUUUCAGCCCAGAAUUUCAUAUCCUGCCAAUUUAAGCUUUACAUUUGAAGGAAAAAUAAAAUCUUUUAGGAACAAGCAAGUACUCAGAGAUUUUAUUACCACCAGGCCUCCUUUACAAGAACUUCUAAAAGAAGCAUUAUACACAGAAAGGAACAAUCAGUAUGACCCUUUCUAAAAAUACAUCAAAAAGUAAAGAGCAUUAACACAAAGAAGAAUUUUUAUCAACGAAAGGACAAAAUAGCCAGUUAACAAAUGGCAGCAACCCUAAAUUUAAAUCGACCAAAUCUCCCAAUCAAAAGAUACAGACAAAAUCUAACGGUAUAUCCAAAGAUAUACAUAGACUGAAAAUAAAGGGUUGGAAAAAAAAAAAAAAACAAAUGUGGGUGAAGGGGAGAAGAAAAGCAAAGCACACUGCCAUGUGUGUACCUACGCAACUGUCUUGCAUGCUCUGCUCAUGUACCCCAAAACCUAUAAUCCAAUAAAAAAUUAAAAAAAAAAAAUGUACCAACCAAAUGGAGAGCAAAAAUAAAUAAAUAAGAAGCAGGAGUUGCAAUUUUCACAUUUGACAAAAUAGAUUUCAAAGCUACAAGGAUACAAGGGUAAAAGGAUUAAUGUAAUAAUAAGAGAUCUUAACACCCAGAUACAUAAGACCCAUAAUGAGAUUUAGAUUCAAUGAGACAACAAAUUGAUAACGAUACCCGGGACUGGAACUAAGAUCCAGAACAAAUAAACUCAAUAGAGCUCUCCAUGUUAAACACACAAAAUAUAUAUUAUCCACAAAAUCUAACGAUAUAUCUGAAGAUAUACAAAGACUCAAAACAAGGGGAUGGAAAAAAAACUCACCAACCAAAUGGAGAGCAAAAAUAAAUAAAUAAAAAGCAGGAGUUGCAAUUCUCACACUUAAUAAAAUAGAUUUCAAAGCUACAAGGAUGCAAGGGUAAAAGGAUUAAUGUAAUAAUAAGAGAUCUUAACACCCAGAUACAUAAGACACAUAAUGAGAGUUAGAUUCAACGCGACAACAAAUUGAUAACGAUAUCCAGGACUUGAACUCAGAGCCAGAACAAAUAAACACAAUAGAGGUCCCCAUUUUAAACACAUAAAAUAUGCAUUAACCACUUUAAACACUCAAAAUAUUGAUCGGCCAUUAUUGAAACCCAUUUUAGGAAUGAAGUAAUAUUCCUUUUUCCCUCUUUUUCUUUCUUUCCCCUUCUUUUUCUCUAAAAAAAAAAAAAUAUAUAUAUAUAUAUGUAAUAUUAGGUAUUUUGUAGAAAUUUUGAAGAUAAUAUGGCCUGGGUGGAUGCUUAUUUUAAUGUUAGAUUAAAAUAGCAGGCCGCAGAUUACUUACGUGUACACAUUAAAAAGUUGUUAAAAGCCAUUUGUAAAAAUAAAAGCAGAUCCUAUGUUGGGUGGUGGUAGAUUACAGGUGACUUUUCAUUUUUCAAGUAGUUGUAAUAAAUAAAAUGUUCUCCUACUCUGGGAAUCUGGUUAGGUAUAUUAUUCAGACCAAUCUUGUCUCCUGAAGAAAACUAAAAGUGCUACAUAAAUAGUAAAAAGCAUCUUGUCAAAACUUUCUAAUACCGGCUCGACCAGUAAGAAAUGAUCAACUCCAGUCUAAGGCACUGCUGGAGGUACAUAGGGCCUGAAGUUUAACUUGAAACUAAUAACAGAACUCCUCCUGUGAUUACAAAUCCAAAACACACUGCUAAAUAUUACAUGAGUCAGACACAAAAUUGCAAUUAGAAAAUAUUUAGAACUGAACAAUUAAAAGGUGAUAUAUAAUUCCAGUCAUGUUUUUACCUGGAAAAAGUGACAUAUAUGAUAAUUUAUAGGCUAAACCUAUAUUAGUCAGGGUUCUCCAGGAAACAGGACCAAUAGAAUGUGUGUAUAUAGAUUUAUACACUAGUGCCAGCACCUUGCAAACUACGGACUUGCCUUACCUGAUUGUGUAAGCUGAGAGGUUCCAGGAUCAGCAAGGUGAAGAGCCAGGAAAGCUCAUUUGUAGUUCCAGUCUGAGUACAAAGGCUGGAAAAGUGUAAUGUCCCUGCUCAAAGCAGUCACGCUGGAGAAGUUUCCUCUCAAUUAGCCCUCUUGUUCCAUUAAGGUCUUCAACUCAUUGGGUGAGAUACACCCGCAUUAGGGAGGGCAACCUCCUUUACUCAGUCUGCCAAUCCACAUGUUAGUCUCAUCCAGAAACUCCCUCAUAGACACACCCAAAAUAAUGCUUGACCAAAUAUCUUGGAACCCUGUUUCCCAGUCAAGUUGGUGCAAAAUGAACUAUCACAAAAUUUCAAUCAGCAUUUAGAGAGAAAUUUAUACCCUUAUCGUGUAUGACAGAAAAAGAAAAUGCUUAAGAAUAAUCCAACUCGCCGGGUGCUGUGGCUCAAGCCUGUAAUCACAGCACUUUGGGAGGCCGAGGCGAGUGGAUCACGAGGUCAAGAGAUCGAGACCAUUUUGGUCAACAUGGUGCAAUCCCAUCUCUACUAGAAAUACAAAAAAUUAGCUGGGCAUGGUGGCACGUGCCUGUAAUCCCAGCUACUCAGGAGGCUGAGGCAGGAGAGUUGCCUGAACCCAGGAGGCGGAGGUUGCGGUGAGCCGAGAUGGCGCCAUUG